AGAAAAAUGCUGCAUAAAGUCUACCAUAUCACCCGGGACUUUGAUUUUACAAAAACUGUCCAGACCCUCUUAGAAAACCGCAGCUUCUAUGUGGAGUUUCAGGGCCAGAAAAGCAGAUGGAGGAGGCAAAAGAAUGGUUUACCCCAAGGCAGCGUUCUUGCACCAACCUUAUUUAAUAUCUUCACGAACGAUCAGCCACAACCACCACUCACAAAGAGCUUUAUAUAUGCUGAUGACCUUGGCCUUACAACACAAGCAAAAGAUUUUGAAACAGUUGAAAAGCAACUCACCAAUGCCUUGAAAGAUCUCUCCAGCUACUACAAAGAGAACCACCUGAAGCCCAACCCUGCCAAGACACAAGUGUGUGCUUUCCACCUACGUAACCGUGAAGCCAACAGGAAACUGAAAGUUACUUGGGAAGGCCAAGAGCUCGAACACUGUUUCCAUCCUAAAUACCUUGGUGUCACCUUAGACCGAACACUAACAUAUAGGAAACACUGUAUGAACACCAAGCACAAAGUAGCUGCACGCAAUAAUAUCCUGCGGAAACUGACUGGCAUCACAUGGUGUGCAGACCCACAAGUAGCAAGAACAUCAGCCCUGGCCUUGUCUUUCUCAACUGCAGAGUAUGCCUGUCCUGUCUGGCACAAGUCUGCCCAUGCAAAGCAGGUGGACAUAGCACUGAAUGAAACAUGCAGAAUCAUCACAGGAUGCCUUAAACCUACACCUGUUGAUAAAUUCUACAAGUUAGCUGGCAUUGCCCCUCCUGACGUGCGACGGGAAGUCGCUGCUAACGGUGAGAGAAAAAAGGUCGAACAUUGUGAAAGCCACCCACUGCAUGGCUAUCAGCCUCCUCCCACCAGACUCAAAUCAAGAAAGGGCUUCAUGAGAACCACCACUCCUCUUGAUGUUCCUCCAGCAGCAGCAAGGGUGUCCCUCUGGGCAGCUAAACCUGGCAAUUCUAACUGGAUGGCCCCCCAAGAGGGUCUUCCUCCAGGGGCAAACCAAGAAUGGGCAACUUGGAAGUCCCUGAACAGACUCAGAAGUGGAGUGGGCAGAUCAAAAGACAACUUGGCAAGGUGGCACUACCUGGAGGAAUCCUCCACCUUGUGUGACUGUGGAGCUGAACAAACAACUCUGCAUAUGUAUGCUUGCCCACAAUGCCCUGCCUCAUGCACGGAGGAGGAGUUGUUUAAAGCUACGGACAAUGCGGUUGCUGUUGCCCGCUUUUGGUCCAAAACUAUUUAGUUGCUUGUUAUUUCCUUUUUUUUAAUUUCCAUUAUUCGAAAUGUAUUCGUUGUACAAUGCUUUUGACACGAAAUAAAAAAAAAAACCAUGAGGGUGGUGUUUAUCCUUCAUAAGAUAUCUGACCUUCCCUUGCAGGUCAUGGUCAGACAAUCGGGUCAGGAUUAUGUGUGUGUAAGUUGACCUCAUUGGGCUGAGUAAUAGUGGCACUGCAGCAAGGUGUGUUCUAAUGAUUCUAUUUCAUUUUCACCGCAAGGGCAUAUUCUUUGGGAGUAGGGGAUACCAGAUAGUCUGCCAUUUAGCAACUCUGAUGGAAGUACAUUUAGUCUCGCUUUUGUGAAACGUCUUCGGUAAUUAGACACUGUGAGACUGUUAAGAUAAUUACAUGACUUAAAUUGCUCAGUGUAUGGUAAGUUCAGGGCCCUAGGGGAACAUGGUGAAUUUGAGCGAGCUCUGAGCUCUCCCAGGGCAAUGUCCCUCAUCCGUUGCUUUAGUAAUUUCUGUGCCAUUUUGAAACAAAGGUGCAGCAAAAGGGAUGCUGAUAGACGAAUUGAGAUCACUUUCUUAACUAUUUUUAAUAUAAAAAAGAAGGUGAAUAUUUUUGGUUUUUGAAAAAUCCCCUCAUUAUUUGUUUCAUAUGUUUCAUCCGUGCUUCUGUAUCGUGUCAUUCAUAUGGUACAAAGAAGCAGUGAAACAAAAGUGAAAGUAGAAAGUAGCACAAAACCAUUUGCUUUGCUGCUAUUUGUUCCACACCUCCUUUUUAGCUGCUGGGUGGCGCUGCUGCUGCUUUGCCUGUCACACUUGCUGCCUCUUGCCUGCCUUGCAUCCUGCUUAUUCUUUAACCUCAGGUCUCCUCUUCAUAUCGCGAGGAAUACCUCUCAGAAUCAGUGCUUCCUUAAGCAGUCCUCAGUCCUCUUCUGCAUAUCGAGAAGGAGACCUCUCAGAAUCAGUGCUGCCUUAAACCCUGUCUGCAACCUCAGUUCUCCUCUGCAUAUCAAGAGGGAGACCUCUCAGAAUCAGUGCUGCCUUAAGCCACAUCUUCAACCUCAGUUCUCCUCUACAUAUCAAGAGGGAGACCUCUCAGAAUCAGAAUAUCGAGAGGGAGACCUCUCAGAGUCAUUGUUGCCUUAAGCCAUGUCUGCAACCUCAGUUCUCCUCUGCAUAUCAAGAGGGAGACCUCUCAGAAUCAGAAUAUCGAGAGGGAGACCUCUCAGAGUCAUUGUUGCCUUAAGCCUUGUCUUCAACCUCAGGUCUCCCCUGCAGAUCUGCAGAUCGAGAGUAAAAUGUCUCAGAAUCAUUAAGCCUUAAGGUUAGAAGGUGGGACCAGUGGGAAAAGAGGGAAUGUUUUUAAGGAGAUUUUAUUUUUAGAAAGAAAAAAAUCCCUAAAAUUUGGGGGAUGACCCAAACCUUGUAAGAGUUGGAGGGCUAAAAGUGGAAGAUAUGUCCUCCAUGUGUGGUGAUUUUCACUCCUCUAGCCUUAAAAUUGAGCAGAAGGGGAGCCUGGGCAGCCCAACCAUUGCAACUAAUGGGACCAAUGCAUUUAUACAUUCGGAUGGUGAAACAAAAGAGCUCAUUUAUAUGGCUGCUGGUUUCGGAAGCAGUGGAUGGACACAGAAACGGGGCCAUAUGAAUGGAACAAACAGAAAUGGUUAGUGAUUUUAUACAAAUGCACAAGACUGCCCCUCACUAGCCUCCAUUUUUCACUUGACCCUGCUGCAGUAUAUGCUAAUUUUUAAAAACAAUACUCUCAGUUUCACUGUUCUGUGUUGGCUGUAAUAAUAACAAUGGAACAUUGUUUUGAAGAGAAAAAAUGGUGGUGGCAUUCUAGGGCAUGAUCUUAAGGGCUCUGCCAUUUCGACCUGCUAAUGAGUUCUUAUCUGUUUUUAAAGGUUUUUAAUUUGCCUAGCUAUUUUAUUUUGCCUAGAUUUUGAAAGCUCUUUCUCACUUGUUUAAUUUAAUUUCGACUUCUAACUUAUCUCCUUUUUGGAGAAUUUUCUACUGAGCUUGUUUUUAAAUCCCAUUUGCUAUCUGGUCUCAUGCUGAUUAACUUGCCUGGUCUGCAGCUGAAUUAUGAGUUUUAUCAGAAGCCCCUGAAAAUCUGUACAUUUUUUUUGGGAUUGAAACAGUGCUUAAGGAGGCCUUAUGAAUGAACGGUUACAUUAUCCUUACCCUAAAUGUUCUAUUCAAAGUUAGUGGAGAAAGGAAUGGGAAGAACAUUUUUCUUCUGUGUAACAAUUGUAAUUAGAGCCCAGAGAGGAAUACAUGAAUAUAUAUGAUAAUCAAAAACUCAAUAACAACUUGGAUUCCAUUGAUCUGCAAGCUGAUAUUUCUUUCAGCAGCAAGUGGGAUUUUGAGGGUCAUAUGGGCAAAUUUGUGCCAUAUUGGGAAAGGUAGGGCAUGUCCUUACCAAGCAAGACAUUAUGGGAUAAUUCCAGGAUGAUAUGUUUGAAAUUUCUAAUCUUACCUCUUCUGACCCUGAUUUGAUUAUAACAGAUGAAUGACUAGAGAACCAAACAGUGGAAACUCAUCAGUUUAAGGUAGGAAUACCCAGUCAAGAUAAAACAGGCUCAAUUCACACAUAACUUUAAUAAUAACUUAGAGAAACUGUCUGAUCUGAGAAUCAGGGAAAGAACUAAGGAAGGUUUAAGGGAAAAUCGAGAUAUCUCUUUUGUUACCAAAAGCCAAUUAAUGAACUUUCCACUAUUGGACAACUUGGGAUCACAUUUUUUCCUUUUGGUUAUAUGUUAUAAUAUUGCUGAGUGGUAGACUAGGAUGGCAUACCAAAAACUGUGAAAUCUAUUUGUUCCACACAUCCUUCUAUAUAUUUUCUGGAAACCAUGACACCAUAUAUGUUUCUUUGAAACAAAGAUUUAGUUCAUUUUGGCUUUCUGAAACUGAAUUUUACAAAACAGGAAGAGCCAGGGGCGAUAUAGCCACUUUAAUUUCAUGUUCAAUUUAUCAUUCUAGAAUUUAUAAUUUUAAAAUCAAUUUCUUUUUGUCCAAAUUGUCAACAGGUAACUGUGGGGAGAGAGAUUGGUGCUUUAAUUUGUUUUAAUCUACACUGUCCACCUUAAAGAACAAUAAAUCAGAGAGCUCAAGGUUCUUUUGUGAUGAAUUGGAAGAGGCUCAGGAUCUUUGUGAGACAAAGUAUCCUUAGGCAAUCAUAGUGAUGUGUGGUUAUUUCAGUGCUUGUGUUGUUUAUGGUCCUAACCAAAAGGAAACUUCUUUUGGCCUGGGUAGACAGUGCCACAAAGUUUCCCUUUAUUUUAUUGUUUUACCUGGCUGGUUUUCAUUGAACAAAGUACUAGAUAAAGAAAAUAGGAAGUUAUUUGAGUUAAUGUCUGUGACUGACAUGCAUUCAUCACAGUCUUUGAGGUAAUUCUAAUGGAUAUUUUACAUUUCUUAACAACAGGGUAGGUAGUGUUAUUGAUUACAUCUUCUGCUCUUCAAGGUUACUGUCUUGUAGAAUGAGCUAUCAUAUUUCAGUCCACCUAGAAAAUUAUAUUUUACUAUCUAUCUGUCAAUCUCUAUCUUAUUUCCUUUACUACUGAUCUGGCUGAGGGAACAAUAAUUAUGGGGAAACACUUAAAGUGAUCUCUUUCUGUUGAACUUUCAGUUCAGGAUCAUUCAUACUCAUGAAGGAGGCAAUCCCCCAUCUCCUUCUUGAUCAUGCAUGUGUCAUUCUGACAUCAAUAGAGGCAUCAAUGUGACAGGAAAGAAGAGGAGAUUGGCUGGUCACACAGACAAUGUCAAUACAAUAACCCAGGUGAUCAUGAAGAAAGAGAAGUGAUAGCCCAGAAAGUUAGAAUUUUUACACCCAGCAUUUCUGCUUUACUUACCUUCUGGGCUAUAGUAUAAAAACAUUAUCUCUAGAAUCUCUAGAGAAUCUCCAGUGUGACUCUUAAGGUUUAACUGCUGCAGUUUUGCUUUGCCUUGCUGGGGUCCAUGUGUUGAGCUGUAGAGGAAAGGGCCAUUGUUCCUGCCUCUUCAUAGCCUCAGGGCCACCACUUGCUAUGAUUCAAUAGGUUCCAAUUACCAGUGUAAUCUAUCCCAGCUGUGGUGCCCACUGGGGCCGGGUGAGUCAACGCCUUCUGCUCAGAGAAAAAUAGCAGAUUUUCCUGUAGUUCUGGAUGGGGUCCCCCCCCCCGAAAGACUGUAUUUGGGAAUACUUCUGGAUCCGUCUCACCAAAUGCCAGCCCAGGUAGAGGCAGUGGUCAGGAGUGCUUAUUAACAGCUUUGGCUGAUAUGGCAGCUGCGUUCCUUCCUAGAUUUGGAAGAUCUAAAAAUGGUAGUGCACACGCUGGUAACCUCAAGGCUGGAUUUUUGCAGUGUGCUUUACAUUGGGUUACCUUUGUACCAAGUUUAAAAAAACUCCAGUUGGUUCAAAAUACGGCAGCCAGGAAUAGCCAUAUUGACCUCCACUGUCUGCUAAUUAGUUUCAGUGCAAAGUAUAAAGUGCUGGUUUUCACCUACAUGGUUUGGGUCCAGGUUACCUACAGGAUUGCCUUCUCUCAUACAAUCUGCCCCAAACACUGAGGUCCUCUGGGGGGUGGCUACUACAGCCUGCCAGAACCUGACUGGCAACCAUCACCCAGAAAACCUUUUCAUUAGCCACCCCAAGACUGGAAUGACUUGCCAGAAGAGCUCCAACAGCUAAAUGAGCUGUUGGAAUUAGAAAAAAAUAUGCAUGUUUUGUAGAAUGUUUUUAGAUGAUUGUGUGUUUUUAACAAUGUUGUAACCUGCCUCGAGCAACAAGGAGAGGUGGGUAAGAAAUAGAAUUAUUAUUAUUAUUAUCAUCUCCCUUCUUUAUGCUGGACAUGUGAGCACUCUGAUUGGAUGUCAGAAGAGGCAUCCACAAUGGACAAAAGGUCUUAUGAAGCUCCAUGGUCAGUUAAAAGCAGUGGUGGCAGCGGCAUAGGCAUAAUCCAUAAUGAUGGCAUAGUUGUUCCAUCUGGACAGCAGAUCAGGCAGGUUGCUCUGACACCACAGGAUACUCAAGAGUUUCCAGCAAACUGUGACAUAUUCCUUGACUUUACCUGGAGCAGGAUAAAGCUGGGUCAAAACUUUAAAAAACCCCAGGAUAUUUACCAGAAGUAACCAUGCCACGAAGACAGCUAUCCUUCCCUUUUCUAUUUUGCUUGUUUAGGGUUAUGUCAAUGGUGGGAUUGUUUAAAAGAAAAAAAACUUAAUAAUUUAUAGCAAAUGGAUAUUGAAGAAAGGAAGUUUCAUAUGGAUCUCUUUUCUUUCACAAGCAUUGGAAGAAAAGAAAGAGAACUUUGAAAUGACUGAAGAUACUUCUCAAAUCACAUAAUUUUUGUUCAGAGGUAUUUCCAAGAGAACCCAACUUAAAAGACAAGUUCAUAAAACACUUUACAGGUCGAGUUACCUUUUCAGCUGAAUGUAGUAAGCAUUUCCACCGACUAUAUCACAAUACACGGGA